CAAAACCCUGGAAGCACUCCUCAUUUUACUUAGAAUUCAAAAUUCUCAUAGGACCUUAAGGGACCUUCACAGUUAUUUAGCUUAUGUUCCUCUCUGACUAAACCCUCUGCUUUACUCAUCUAGUUGCAUGGGCAUACAUACCUGGCUUUGCUUGGCACAUGACACUGGCCAAUACCUGUGCUUGAAUCAUAUGCUCAAAAAUGCCACAUGGCUUAAUUGAUCUUUAUUCAAGUAUUGCCUGAAGUUUCAUUUUGGCAUGAAGUCUCCCUUACUAUUCUAUUUAAUAGUGCACCCUCUUAUUCCCUGCUUAGCUCCCAACUGUAGCUCAUUCCCCUCCAAGGUACCUAUCAUCAUAUAGCAUAGUGAAUAAUUUGUUAUUCAUUAUUAUGUACUAUCUGUGUCAAUACAGGUAAGUUCUUGGCUAGCAUCCCCCUUCCUCUCACCCCCUAUGGAUCACUUACACCAAGAAUAAUGUGUGACACACUUUAGGUGCUUAACAUCUGUUUAUUGAAGUAGUGAAUAAAAGUUGCCUUGGGAGUGCCUGGCUGGCUCAGUUGGUAGAGUGAUCCUCGAUCUUGGGUUGUGGGUUUGAGCCCCAUGUUGGGUGUAGAGAUUCUAAAAAAAUAAAAAUCUUUUUAAAAAUGUUGCCUUACUUUCCUCGUGUUAAUUUCUAACACUUUAGCGAUUUUUACUUAAUGUUUCUUUCUUUCCCCCUGUCUUUCAGAAUACAGUUGGACAUUGUAAGAAUCAUAUUGGGAGAAUUUCAACUCUCCGUGGAGACAUUGUCACUGCAAUUAUAGGUGAAAUGAAAUCACUUCCCAACAAAGAGGGAUAAGAUACACUUUUUGCACACAUGCUUCAGAUGUGACCACAAAAUCUGCUGUUUCUGUGGGGAGUGAUAGUUGGUAAGUAGAGCUUCCUUUUAGAUAAAAAGAGUCUUAGAGAAAAAUGACAUUGCUAAGAAAACAUUUUAAGUGGGCGCCUGGGUGGCUCAGUUGGUUAAGCGCCUGCCUUCAGCUCAGGUCAUGAUCCUGGAGUCCCGGGA